GCCUGGAUAGCUUAGUUAGUUAGAGCAUGGUGCUGAUAAUGCCAAGGUUGCAGGUGUGAUCCCUGUAUGGGACA